rfam:Aspergillus nomius NRRL 13137 contig00107, whole genome shotgun sequence.
UAUCCUUAUUUAAACUAAUGCCCGUCUAAAAGAAAAAAGAAUAAGAGGAUGAAAGCCAUGCACCAGUUUUGCAACCACCUGUGCCAAGUACAUAUACUUGGUAAUUUAGUGAAUACAAACUAUUUGGUAUAGUAACACUAUAUAUGAGGAGUUAUUGGCCGGCAUCCAAGUAGCUGAUUACCUUCGACAGGGAGAGUUGCUUGGGAAUGCCACUCUAAACGGGUGAUAAAUUUCAUCUAAAGCUCAGUACUGCAUCAAAGAGGACAGCACAAGAGUAGUGUGACCAAAGUAUGAAAAACACUUUGAAAACAGAGUUUAAAAAAACAGGUGAAAUUGUUGAAAGUGAAGCACUUGCAACCACACUCGUCUCCGAGGUUCAGCUGGCAUUCGUGCCUGUGUACUUCCCCGGUGAGCCAGGGUCGGUUUUGGCGCUGGUCAAAGACGCCCGGAAUAUAAGAAUGCCCUCCGGGGCACUUCAUUGCCAAGAGUGCAAUGCGACCCGCCCGGACCGAGGAACGCCGUUCCCUACCUUGGACCCACCCGGUGAUUAACCUUAGCCGUUUAAGGGAAGGUAUGACUAGUUUAGCUAGGGCAGCAUAUGCCAACCUCAAUAUGAUUUAAUUCCAAGUAGUAUGAUGUCUCCAUAUAUGCCCGAAGUAGUAAUAGUAUUAUACGGUAGAAGGAAGUUCUAGUCCCACACGCUUCUUGUUUAUAUACGGCGUGAUUUAGGGGGGUGCUGUAUUAUACACAUUGUUCUUGAUACCUAUUUAAGAAAGUUAACGGGCGUCAAACGUCGACAACACCAGCGCAUUUCGGUGACGCACCAAAACAAGCUAAAUUUCUCCACCCUUUCUUCUCAGGUCAGAGAAACAACGCCUUUUGGAACAGGGUUUAGUGGAAACUGAAGGUCUACUUCAAAACUUGGUUCGUUACUUGUUAUUGUCCCGAGUAUACCCGUGUAUAGGACGAGAUCA